rnacentral:misc_RNA from 1 species
CUCGACUAUUCUUCUCCAAAAUGAAUGGUAAUUGAUCACAAUGCAUGAUUAGGGUGCUGCUCUGGUCUCCAUUGGAGCUCAGGACUUGAAGUCCCAAACACUCGUCAUCAAUUCAGGUCACAGCAGCUUGUGAGAGGACGAAGAAUGGGAAUAAAAGGCCUUUUGCCCCUUUUCAAGUCGAUAAUGGCGCCCAUCCGCAUCAACGACUUAGAGGGCUGUCGUGUUGCCGUUGAUGCUUACUCUUGGCUCCACAAAUGCGCUUUGGCCUGCAGUAGUGAGCUUUGCAAAGGAUUACCCACCUCCAUGUCCCUGCUCCUUUUCUCUAUCUGUACUCAUGUACGUGUGCUUGUGUAUAUGCGCAAUUCAGUAUUAAAAUCUAAAUCAGCUUCGUUUAGUGUGUGUGUGUGUUUUAAUGAAGAAUUUGAUGCAUUUCUGUCGUCUUUUCGCACAUGUGCCCGCACAUUUUGUAUACAUCAUGAAAGUUGUAUAAAUUUCGUCAAAUUGGGUAGAGGGUAUUCUUGUUUUCAUGGGUCGAUGCAUUUGGGGAUGCUAAUAUUAAUUUUGCAUCAUAUGAGUGAAAAUGUUGGCCAUUUGCCCAUUUGGGAGUGCGAUUUUCUGGGUGCUAGUGGCUAUAUUGCUUUUACGUAACUGCAAUAUCAUUUUCAAAGUCGCAACAAUUUUAACGCCUUUCGCUAUCAAAUUAGGAUAGUGGGUAUUCUUCACUUUAAAUCUUGGUUGUAUAGGUGAUCAGAUGUGAAAAACUGUGAUCUGUAGGGAAUAUUUUUCGUUCUAUUGGAACCAAAGGUGAAAGUUCCAUGACUGCAGAAAUUUCAGUUUCUUUACUUUUUCUUUUUGUUUUCUGCAAAUCAAUUGGAUUACAUCAGACUUGGUAAUUCAAGUGUUCUUACAUUCCUUAAUGUUUCAUAACUAGAACUUGACAAAGGGUAAUGGAUAUUACAUCUAACUGUGGUCAGAUAAAAGAGAAGUAUUUAUACUUCGGUCACCCAAUACGGAGGAAGAAUAGAUGGCUAAGGGUAUUAUGCUUUUCCCAUGUAUCAUGGACUUACAUUCUCUUAUGACACGUUUUCGUCUCAUCUUUUAGGCACAUUGAAUAUUGCAUACACAGAAUAAAUUUGUUGUGGCAUUAUGGUGUUAAACCUAUUCUUGUCUUUGAUGUUGGUCUUCUUCUGCCAAGGUAUGUUAGAUGUCUUCAAAAUCUCAAAUUUGCUUUUGAUUAUUAGGGCACAACUUACAUGUCCUACUGCAUCAAAUAUCAAAUCAACUCAAUGGCUAAGAAACUCUUUAGAGGAUGUCAUUCCAAGUUCCAAUAGCAUGGUUGGCUGCAGAGAUAAUUUUUAAUAUUUUAUUUUUUUAUUGUAAGGUGAAAGACUGACAGUCAAGUAGCUUUACAGGUGUCAAUCAAAUGCAAAAUGUUACCUAAAUCUCCUUGUCAAUGUUUACUUCCCUUUUGAUCUGAAGGCAUCAGUGCUUGAUAUAUGUGUUUGUGACACCAUGUUGUAUAGAUGAGAUGACGAAAUAUUUCCAGCUCUAUCUCUAGCUGUUUCAUUUUCAUUCCUUGAAUUCAAUGUUUUCGCAGAAAGGAACGUAGUAGCUGAGAUGGAAUUUUAAAGAGGGAUGAAGUAUUCACACAUUUGCAUGGAUGUGGUACUGAAUAUACAAAAAUUAGAGCUAAUGGUGAGCUGACGGCAAUAGAUCUCAUCCGUGUUUUAACUAAUUUGAGCUAUUUCUUUCCUCAUAGUUCCUAUUUUGUUUGCAUUUUGCUCUUUCUUUCCAAUUUUCCUUAAUGUCCACAAGGCUUUGCAUCUCUGGAAGCAAAGAGAGAUUUCUGGGCUCCUCGAAU